CGAAAGUUAAAUAUAACUGAACUGUACUUGGGCAGUGAUUAUUUCACAUACCAGUAGAGGGUGCCCACGUACAACCAGUUUAACUCAUACCACACUUAGAGAAUGACAACUCUAAAUUUUCCAUAUGCCUGAAUGUGAGUGUGAAUGGUUGUUUGUCUAUGUGCCCAGUGAUCGGCUGGCGACGAGUUCAGGGUGUACCCCGCCUCUCGGCCAAAGUCAGCUGGGAUAGUCUCCAGCACACCCGCGACCCCUCAGGAGGAUAAUCUGUACAGAAAAUGGAUGGAUAGUUUUAAACCAAAGCAAUAUCUUAAGGAAUCUGGCUGGUUGAGGUUCAGGCUGCAGGAAUGCAACAAUUUCAGUUUCUUGAGGACUAAUGACAACCGGGACAUCGGGCUUCUUCACUACAUAUCCCCCUUUUCGCCGGCUAGAGCAGCUCGAUGGUGGUCGGACGGCGACUUCAUGAAAGAUGGCACAGGUCAUACCUGUUGAGACGCCAGGAUAAGGGACAGACGCAGUGGAGUCAUUGAGGCGGGCUGCACCUGGCACGGGCUCUCGAGUCGGCUGUGGCAGACUCGGAGAGGGGCUUUGCGAAGUGGCAGGAGCCUUUGACCGUAUCCCAGGGAGGUCAGGACCAAGCGCUGGGACUGCUUCGUCGAAUCUCGGAGACAGACUGAAAGGUGGGUGCUCAUUGAUUUCAACAUACAGUAUUUGCUCCAGGGAGCGCUGUUGCUGGUUGCCAAUUAAUUCGCAGGCUGCCUGUAACUCCCGUCGAAGAAGUGUUAUUUCGGCUUCCUGUUCUAGCUUUAGCUUUUGAAGGUGGCACAGGUCAGAUUCUCGGGCAGUCAAUUGUGACAUGAGUUCACGUGAGUACUCAACGCUUUUAGAGCGUUCCUCUUUGAGCAACUCAAGCUCAGUUUCAACAUCAAUUUGACGGGCUUGUGCAGGGUUUAAACGAGAAUUGGAUUCUGCUAGCUGUGCCAUUAAGUUGAUUUGUUGUUACUGUUCAGCGUCUAGUUUGAGGCUCCUUCGGUUAUCUUCCACAUCGCUCCAUUUUAAUUGUGACACUAAGUUCAAAACCAUACAACCAAGCGUUCAAGCGAGAUUCUUAUCUUUCAUCGUUUUGUUUUUGGCAUCGAUCAUGAGUUGCGUGAUGUUAGCAUUGAGGACCUCAAGACUUGCAUCUUUGACGGAUUCUGCAUAACCCGGGACGAGGUCUUACAAGCUGUGUUAACGUGUCGAGAUUGUCAUCAUGACUGGGACUUUUUACAAGUUCCACCAUUAUUGUGUUGCGUGUGCAGUAGCUGUACAUUGUAUGCAAUUAGAUUGUUGGUAUUGUAAUCUCGUUUAAGCGGUGUGUCUAAUGUGGGGUACGUGCACAAGAUAAGCGGUGUAAUUAAUUGUUAACCAAUGAAAUAGCGUUCGCAAAUUAUGGUGUGAGGGUUUAUCACGUUACCUUAAAUGUGUUCGAGAACGUGCGUAGAAGCAGUAAUCGAAUAGAACAAAAUUGUUGACAUCACAUUUUGUGCACAAACUCUAUUUGAUCCAAUUACAAUUGAUGUGUGAGUGUUGUCAAUUUGAUUGCUGAUUUAAAACAAUUGCAAAGGGCACCUUGUUGGAGUAAAUCAAAUCAGCUUAUUAACUAAAUUUGGAAUUUCGACUCAUUGAACAAAUUAAUUCAUUCAGCUUUGAUAAAUAAAUUAAACUUUAUGAUUAGUUAAAUUGAUUUGACCGUGUCUGAUGACUACCGCUGCAAGUCAAUUAAAUUUGUGAAAUCAAUUUGGAAUUUAACUAAUUCAAAGAAUUUUUUUUUAACUUUGGGAAAAAGUUAAAUAUACUUACAAUUAGGCGUGUGAGUUAAUUAAUUGCGUGUAUGACUUACAAUGAGGCGGAACG